AGGGUUUCGAUUAUUUAUCACUGAAAACCAUGAGCUAAUGGCAGCUAUUUAAAUAGCACUUGAUCAUCAACCUCUUCUUGGGUAUUAUAGUUUGCAGAAUAUCAAGUAAAUGUGUGGUAUAACCAACAGAGUCAUAGAAGAAGCAUUUCUGUAAUUUAUAUUUCACAAAGUAUCUACUAAUUUAGAACCUUUCCAAUUUGAAUUCCUAAUCCAAUAAUAUACAUGAUAUGGCAACAUCUUUCUUUAAAAGUCAUUAAGCGGGUUUCUCACAGUCUCUCACUGCCGUAUCAUGUUUUGUUUGAUGUUUUGAUUAAAACAACAGCAACAUAUUGCUCCCAAUCUCAACAAUAUACAUAUACUAUAUUUUUAUAAUUUUUUGUUUUGAUACAUUUCCGUCCGUCUGUGUUUUGCUGUUCGUCGUUCGUUAUAAGUUCGUAUUCGUACCAUUUUAGUAGUGUAAGCAGUUUUACUACUUUCUCUUUGCUAACGCAAGCGCCGCGCAAUACGAUCUCACAACAUUCAAUACAAUUUUAUUUCAUUUUUGUUUUUUCUUGCUAGUGGAACGAGUAUUUCAGUUGUUUUAGAUUUCUUUCUUGUAAUUGUUGUCAUCGUAGUUGUUGGUCGGUCGUCUUGAUGUAGCAGAGUCCUUUUGCACUAGUGACAACGUGUGUGUGUCUGUACCGGGGGGUCUACUUACAUAUUGUUUUCCGCCUUGUAUAGUUGCUGUUGGAUUUUGAAAGGCAUUUGAAUGACUUCGAAUUGUAUAGUAUGUAGUAGAGUAGAGUAGAGUAGAGUAGAGUAGAAUAAAGUGAAUGUAUGAAUUUAAGGUGUAUUUAACAUUUUCUCUGCGUAGGUGGACUGGCGUUUGUGUGUAUGUAAACGAGCCUAGGAGAUUUUUUUUUUAUAUUUUUCCUCUAACAAUUUUGUUUGUUAGCUCAGCAUUUUCCAAACCAUCACUAUGCUUAUUAUGAACAAGCAUACGAAAAAUGUCACAAAUACACACCGCUACCUCACAAUUGAUGUUAGAUGUCGUCAACAUUAAUAAGUUAAAACUUUUUUGUUUUCAUUUCGACUAAAUUCAAUUGCAAGUACACACACACUCUCUAUAUUUGCACUCAUUGUACUUAGUAGUAUAUAAUGUUGUGGUAGGUAGUCUAGUCUAGUUUGUGUGUUGCCUGUUGGUUGGGUUUUCUUUUCUAUUGGAAGAACAGUCGCCCAUUGUGUUAUGUAUACAAGUGUUUGGGCAAACAAGUUUGACGUGAGUUAAUGGGAGAGCGAGAGAAAGCUUCAAACGUUGUUAGAAUUGCCGGGCGUUUGUAAGUAAAUAGAGAAAAAUAUAUCCAUAUUUACAUAGAGAGUUGCCAUUAUAAUUUCGUUUAUUGAAAUGUUUAAAGAUAUGUAUAUAUGUGUUAUUAAAUUAUGUUAUUUAUGCUUAUACGGAUGUUUACAAUCUUCUGAAUAUGUAUAACUAGUUACAUCUCUCUUAAUACUUAAAUUGUUUAAUGGAAGCGUUUAAAGAUUCGAUUUUAGAGCUUUGAAAUGAAGAGAGAUUGUGAAAUUGAUAAUCUUCAAGAUUGUCACCCGAAUGGAAUGGAAGCGUUUAAAGAUUCGAAUUUAGAGCUUUGAAAUGAAGAGAGAUUGUGAAAUUGAUAAUCUUCAAGAUUGUCACCCGAAUUUCAGGAGAAAGGUUGCCAGAGGGACACCUAAAGAUGUCGAAAUGCUUUAUAUGAACACAUAAAUUAAAGUCCUAAUUUGACAGUGGGAUGAAGCUCACAUACCAUACAUCUUUACAGUCUUAACAGCACCUAGGGGACAAGUCACAAGGACCUACUGUGAUAAGUUAGGUAUAUUUAAAAUAAACUCCAACACACUCAACCAUAAAGGAAAAGCGGCGAUAAGUUAAAGAUUUAAGGUAUUAUAACCCCACAACCAACUCCACUGACUUUAUGAAUUUGGAUUUAUACCACUACGUGGAUAUGGAAACCCCAAUCCACUGAGAAGCCAGGACAAAGUCCUGCCCAUGUCAAUCAUUCCAACGAAACACUUAGGAUACUUUUGACAUCUCCAGUUAAGUCCCGACAGACUAGAGGUACUUGUUGCACCUCUUUAUCCCAAGAUUACAAUACCCAAAAUGAGGUUCGUUCAUCAAGGAAAAGCCGAGGACUCAUUUGAUGGAGGAAAACUCAUCAAGAACACAUAAUUCAUGAUUGUUGCUGCCUUUCGACAUAAUUGUACAGUCGUCCGCAUACAAAAUCACGUCUAUGUACAGGAAGUUUAGAGAGGUUGAAUUUAAACAAUAGCGACGAUAGUACAUUCUUGUGCUACGCCCUGUUUAACUCUAGGAUGUUUGCAGCGUCUCUCUUAACUCUACAAACUACUGACAAUCCCUCAGAUAAUUUCUGUGAGAUUUAAGUUUUAUGAGAUCUGAGUAGAGAAAGCGUUUAAUGCUGUGCACCAUUUAUAGGUCUGUUCGAACCUUGAUGUAAAUGGAAACGACAGAGGGGUUACAAGUCACCAGUUAUGGAGGAGUAAAUUGGAUAGAUUGUUAUUUAUAUCCUUAUGAUUAAAGCUUGCUUAUUGAGAAGUAAAUUGGAUUGUUAGUUAUUUAUAUCCUUAUGAUCAAAGCAUUAAGUAAUGGCAGCCAAUGUAAUUGUUGCACUGGAUUGAUGUAGUCUAAGGUUUUUUUAAGAUCAUUGUUCUAUUAGAGCCUUUGUCCUCAGGCUAUUCGAAGAUCCGAAAGGGUCUGGAUAGAUAAUAAGCACUACUAGGACUUUUACAAGAUAGCUGCUAGUUAGGAACCUGUGUGAUCUUAACGGUUUUGUUUUAGAUAAUCCAAAAUGAAAUCUAUGAAUUCGUGUUAGUGCUAUUGUUUAGAAGUACUUAAUGUGUAGUUAUAAUAUAAUUAAAUCAAAUUCCCUAAAUUUGGUAUGAAAAACAUUAUAAAAGGCCUCAUUCGCAUUGAUUAUUAAAAUUAUAAAAUUCAUAUUCCAAAUAUAUAAUUAAUCAUUAUACUUUCACCAAACGCGUGAAUCAAAUUAAAUUUACUAAUUUUUUGCAUUUCUUUUAUGGCCAAAAUAAUAACAAUUAAAUGGUGCUUAUUUUCACGAAAAGAAAGAGAAAAGAACUUAAAAUAAUUUAUCAUUAUUAUCUAUUCUUGAGCUCAUCAAAGAAUUUCUACUAAAAAAAUAACCUUGGCAACACUGCUACAGCCACACAUUUACACUCACUCAUUUUUACGAGUUUUUGCGUUGUUGUCUUAAAUGUUAGAGAAAAUUAUUUGACAGUUAGGGCGAGAGAGAGAGAGAGUGAAAAACAAGAAGUGCACGAAAAAAAAGGAAAUUCCUAGAAAAUAUAAUAAUAUAAAAGUAAUAAUAAAAAUAUAAUAUAUAGAAACAAAAUGACAACGAGUACGACGAAAACAAUUUCCCUUUUAAAGAGAAUUCUUUUCUGAAUGAAAAUGUUAUCAAAAAAGGACGGACAAGGGGGCAUAUAGAAGAACAAAUGAUACUUACAUAAAUGUGGCCUACAAUGUGAAUCAUUUAUAUAGAGGUCGGGGUGUUGCAGGCUUGGACGACGGUUUAAGUGUUGGCAAAAAUAUAACUAAAUACUUUGACAGUCAUAAAGGGACUUUUGUACAUGUACAUAUAUACAUAUUAAUAUAGUUUUAGUUUAAGUUGAUGAGUUAGAGUGGUGGAAAAAAUUAAAAACAAAACAGGACGAUGGUGGACAAAAUAAAAACGAUGAUGGCGAAAUAGCGAUAACAACGCCAAUGACGGUGACAAUGAUGAAACAUUCGUGGGGUUCUAUUGAAAUUGUGUUAACUUACUCAGUUGAUGAUAUGGGGGUUUCCGGUAAUAUUACCCAAAACGCAUACAAACUCAAAGUAUAAGUUCAUGUUUUUACGCAAUAAUAAUGAUACAACAACGUCUAGUUAUUAGAACUAUAAUAAAACAAACAACCACAAAAUAUAAUAAAAACACAGAAGGACGACAACAACAAGCGACCAUCAACAUCAACACUCAGUGGAAUUAACCAAUAUUUUAUUAUUACCAUGAUUUCAUUCCCAGUUUUUUUUUUUAUAAAAAGAAUUAACAAGAACGCAGAAGAAAAACACCCACUAACCUCUUGCUGUCACUUUAAAAAAUCAUAGGAAAACCCCAACACAGGACAUUGAAACAAAGUGAAAUCACAUAAUGAAUCAUUCAAUUUAUAUGGAAAAUAUAAAUAUGUAAAAGAAUUUUUAUUAUUACCGGUUUUGUUGUAAUAUAUAAGAUUUCAACAUAAUUUUAAAGGUAGGUUGCUUUUGGUUUGGGUUUACCGCCUUUGGUACUUUGGGUUGUGUUUCUCCAUAAAUUGUAACGUGCACUCAUC
rnacentral:lncRNA from 1 species